rnacentral:rRNA from 1 species
UGAGGAAUAUUGGUCAAUGGGCGGAAGCCUGAACCAGCCAAGUAGCGUGCAGGAUGACGGCCCUAUGGGUUGUAAACUAGCUUUUAUUACGGGGAGUAAAGAAGGCCACGUGUGGUCUGUUGCAGGUACCGUAUGAAUAAGGACCGGCUAAUUCCGUGCCAGCAGCCGCGGUAAUACGGAAGGUCCGGGCGUUAUCCGGAUUUAUUGGGUUUAAAGGGAGCGUAGGCCGGGUUUUAAGCGUGUUGUGAAAGUUAGCGGCUCAACCGUUAAAUUAGCAGCGCGAACUGGAGCCCUUGAGUGCGCUGGAAGUAGGCGGAAUUCGUGGUGUAGCGGUGAAAUGCUUAGAUAUCACGAAUAACUCCGAUUGCGAAGGCAGCUUACUGUUGCGUUACUGACGCUGAAGCUCGAAAGUGCGGGUAUCGAACAGGAUUAGAUACCCUGGUA